rnacentral:rRNA from 1 species
CAGUAGCCACGGGAAUACGUAGGGCGCAAGCGUUAUCCGGAAUUAUUGGGCGUAAAGAGCUCGUAGGCGGUUUGUCGCGUCUGCCGUGAAAGUCCGGGGCUCAACCCCGGAUCUGCGGUGGGUACGGGCAGACUAGAGUGAUGUAGGGGAGACUGGAAUUCCUGGUGUAGCGGUGAAAUGCGCAGAUAUCAGGAGGAACACCGAUGGCGAAGGCAGGUCUCUGGGCAUUAACUGACGCUGAGGCACGAAAGCGUGGGGAGCAAACAGGAUUAGAUACCCGUGUAGUCCCUGUCUCUUAUAC